AGCAACAGGAAGUGACAUCAGACAGACAUGUUGAUGCUGAGCUCUGACACUGAAUCACUGAGAGGAGCCACAGACCGCCAUCUUUACUCUGCAACAACCGAGCAGCUUCCUGUCUAUGAAAACACAGAGAAGAACCAAGGAAUCAUCUGUUACAUCACUGAGAUGAAAAGCAGCUGCUGGUCCAGCGACGGUCCCAGUCCAGACCAACCUGUCAGCCAGCAGCUCAGAGGCCUCCACGCCUCGGCACGAAAUCCUGAGCCCGUGUGAGCAGCGUAAACCUCCCCGUGUAGUUUUCAAAAAGACUGAAUGAACUACAGCUGCAAUGAUUAGCCAACUAAUCAGUUAGUUAAUAAACACAAAAUUAAUCAAUUACUAUUUUUAUGAUCAUUUGUUUAUGUCACUUUUCAAGCAAAAAUGCCAGAAAUUUAUCUUUCCAGCAUGUCACACAAGUCUCCACUUCUCUCCCACGCAGUAAACUGACAAGUUAAUCAGGGAGCCAUCGCUAUUUUAUAAACAAAACAAUUCAUCAGCUGGUCAGUAAAAUAAUCUGCAGAUGAUCAAUAAUAAAUAUUACUGUUAGUUUCAGUCCGAAAAGCUACGCCCACACCUGUCUUGUUGUUGGUCUUCUUCCUGACUGCGGCCAACCGGAGCCUCACUGGAGGAGACACAUUUGAGGACAUCAUUCUGUGCGGAAAAUGUUGAUUAUUGUCCAGUUUGUCACCUUGUGACCCCUCGGAUGCAUCACGUGACCCUUCGUUAGGGAGGGAACCCGUGUGUGACGAUCGAGCUGCCGGUCGAGGUGAAGGAGCAGGAGCAGGAACAGGAAGUGAAUCUCACACACACACACACGCACAAAAUGGGCUGCCUGGCUCAGCGGCACUGAGGCAGCUGCCUGCUAAUGAGGAUGAAAGCACACUCUCAGUGUUUGCUAACGAGCUAGCAGCCUGUUAGCUACCUGCCCCUGUGACGGAGGCUGGUGGACACGCCGCCGGUGACCGGGGCUGUCAUGUUUGUGGCGGACACACCGCCGCCGACCCACAGCCUGACUUCCCGGGGACUUAUGUGGAAGUCAGAGUAGCCCGGCAGCGAACAGAGAGCGGGCUAAGCUAAAGCUGACGUCCGUCCCUCCUCUCCGGCUACAGCAGCGGCUAAAGUACAGACUUAGCAAUCCAUGUUCCAGGGCUGUGACCAGCGAGCAGCUGAACCGGUAGGUGGCAGCAGACACGGCUGAUCCUGUUCACAGUCUCAGAACAGUCUGUACAGAGUAAAUACUGAAGCCACUUCUGCCUCUGCCAGCUCAGCUCUGACAACACUAAAAAUCAUGGCCAACAGUAACAAAGUGUGGGCAGCUAACAACGUGAAGACUCAGGGUGGCUGGGCGCUCCCUUAGGGAUAAGGUGAGGAACUCUGUCACCUGGGACGAGCUCAGAGUAGAGCCACUGGUCAUCCACAUCGAGGACAGCCAGUUGAGAUGGCUUGGGGAUCUGCUUCAGAUGCCCCCUGGACGCCUCCCUGGGGAGGUGUUCCGGGCAUGUCCCACCGGGAGGAGGCCCCGAGGAAGUUCCAGGACACGCUGGAGGGACUAUGUCACUCGACUGGCCUGGGAACGCAUUGGAAUCCACCUGGAAGAGCUGGAAGUGUCUGGGGAGAGGGAAGUCUGGGAAUCCCUGCUCAAGCUGCUGCCCACGUGACUCAAUCCCUGAUAAAGUGGAAGAAAAUGGAUGGAUACAAGUGACAUGUAGGAGAAAGCUGACAGAGGAAGUGACACACAAAGUGAUGUGACAACAGCUGGCUGAGAGGAUGAACAAAUGAGAAGACAGAAAGGAGACAUAAGGCCUCAACACACACACAUACACAUAUCAACCUAACAAUGCAUUCAGGAGCUCCUCAAGAAACCACAGAGUCACAGAGGAGGCAGAGUGUUGUUUGUUUGUGUGUGUUGGGGUGUGAUGUCAGAUUAGUGUAAGGACUUCACGCUUGCCGUAGUUCAAACAAGGAAGUGAGUCACUGGAGUCAUGAAUGAGUUGUCCAGUCAGAGUGGAGACAACAUUUUUAUUCAGGACUUCCUGAGUGACAAAAUAAAAGUCCCCAGAGAUGCAGUGAUGUGAACCUCGGUGCUCACUUCAACCAAUGCUAAUGCUAAUGCUUCAACUCAUUUGAAUACUAGAGGUAUACAUACACAUAAACACACAAUACACAAACAUGAAUCUCUCUGUAAAUAAAUUGGAUAUUUAACCUAUAAAACGUGUUUUUUAUUACUUUGGGAUUAGUUUCAUUUUUGAUCCUGUGUUGAAAUCAUGAAAACUAAUUUUUGUGUGAGCCAAACAUAUAAUGAGGCUUUUAAAUCCCAAGUGCCCUUUAAUGAACAGACAGAAGCGUGUGACAUGAUGUGUGUAACCAAAGAAGAACGUUGACAUCCUGCAGGGGAUUUCUCCUGUUAACUCCUUCAUUGCGACAUCUGUGGAUGUGUGACAUCAGUCCGCUGUAACAUCAUGUCAAAUAAAAAACUUAAUAUGAUG